rnacentral:lncRNA from 1 species
UGAAGGACUUUAUUGCUGACAUUUCCCCAACAAAGGAAAAGACAGUUUUGAUAUGGGAUAGAGUCUGCAGAUAAAUGCAAAGUGCAUUGCAUUAGAAAAGUAAAUGAUUGCUGCAAAAUUGAUUCUAUCUUGCUUCGUUGCUCUUGUGAUUCAAAAUAUAUGCUAUCAUUUUUUCCAUCAUGAGGGCUAUCAUUUCUUUUGAGUAAAAUAAAGAAGUUUGAGAUCUCUUUCCUCUCCCUUAAAAGCAUCUGUUUUGUUCAAAUCCAGGCUAAAGUACUACCUGUUCUACAACUGAAGUUGCUUCAGACAAAUAUUGCACUCUCAGUGCUGAAAUAAUAUUCAUCCUGCUGGUAUAUGUGGCUCCAAU